rnacentral:tRNA from 1 species
GAGGUGGAACACCCCAAGAAAGAAAAGAUAUUUAUAUAGUUUAAUCAAAACCUUACAUUUUCAUUGUAAAAUUAAAAUAUCUUUUAUAA